rnacentral:rRNA from 1 species
GAUGAACGCUGGCGGCGUGCUUAACACAUGCAAGUCGAACGGAAAGGCCCAAGCUUGCUUGGGUACUCGAGUGGCGAACGGGUGAGUAACACGUGGGUGAUCUGCCCUGCACUUCGGGAUAAGCCUGGGAAACUGGGUCUAAUACCGGAUAGGACCACAUUUUGGAUGGUGUGGUGGAAAGUUUUUCGGUGUGGGAUGAGCUCGCGGCCUAUCAGCUUGUUGGUGGGGUAAUGGCCUACCAAGGCGUCGACGGGUAGCCGGCCUGAGAGGGUGUACGGCCACAUUGGGACUGAGAUACGGCCCAGACUCCUACGGGAGGCAGCAGUGGGGAAUAUUGCACAAGGGGCGCAAGCCUGAUGCAGCGACGCCGCGUGGGGGAUGACGGCCUUCGGGUUGUAAACUCCUUUCGCUAGGGACGAAGCGCAAGUGACGGUACCUGGAGAAGAAGCACCGGCUAACUACGUG